rnacentral:rRNA from 1 species
CCUACGGGCGGCAGCAGUGGGGAAUAUUGGGCAAUGGGCGCAAGCCUGACCCAGCAACGCCGCGUGAAGGAAGAAGGCUUUCGGGUUGUAAACUUCUUUUCUCAGGGACGAAGCAAGUGACGGUACCUGAGGAAUAAGCCACGGCCAACUACGUGCCAGCAGCCGCGGUAAUACGUAAGUGGCAAGCGUUAUUCGGAUUUACGGGGUAUAAAGGGCGGGGAGGCGGGAAAGCAAUACCGAGUUGAAAACCAUGGGCUCAACCUGUAGCCUGCAGUUGAAACUGUUUUUCUUGAGAACUGGAGAGGUAAACGGAAUUUCUAGUGUAGGAGUGAAAUGCGUAGAUAUUAGGAGGAACACCAAUGGCGUAGGCAGUCUACUGGACCGCAACUGACGCUGAGGCGCGAAAGCGUAGGGAGCAAACGGGAUUAGAUACCCGAGUAGUC